UACGAACCGUCCAAACGUUAUUCGGAAUUACUGGGCUUAAAGGGUGCGUAGGCGGCCCGAUAAGUUGGGUGUGAAAUCCCUCGGCUUAACCGAGGAAUUGCGCCCAAGACUGUCGGGCUUGAGUGAGAUAGAGGUGAGCGGAACUUAGGGUGGAGCGGUGAAAUGCGUUGAUAUCCUAAGGAACACCGGUGGCGAAAGCGGCUCACUGGGUCUUGUCUGACGCUGAGGCACGAAAGCUAGGGGAGCGAACGGG
rnacentral:rRNA from 1 species